AUGGAUAUAAAGUGCAGGAUGAUGAGCAUUUGGCAAAAAUUAGUUGCAGUCAUCACCAAGACAGAAAACCUCAAACCGUGCACGAGGGAUAAAGGCAUAGAGAGAGUGGCAAAUACGACAGAUCAUGCCAUCAGGGGAAAAUAUCUAUGUGGUGGCAUGCAACUCACCAUUAAGAAAGACAUUCUUGACAUCAAGCUAAGAGAUAGACCAGUGGCGAGCAAAUAUCACAACGAAAAGUGUGCGAAGAGUGGUCACAUGGGCCAUUUGAGGAAAUGUCUUGUCGUAGUCAUAGCCAUGUUUCUAUCGAAAGCCCAAGUCAUAAGACGAGCUUUGUAA
rnacentral:rRNA from 1 species